UGGGGAAUCUUGCACAAUGGGGGAAACCCUGAUGCAGCGACGCCGCGUGAGCGAUGAAGCCCUUCGGGGUGUAAAGCUCUUUCGGCAGGGACGAUAAUGACGGUACCUGCAGAAGCAGCUGCGGCUAACUACGUGCCAGCAGCCGCGGUAAUACGUAGGCAGCAAGCGUUGUUCGGAGUUACUGGGCGUAAAGGGUGUGUAGGCGGUCCUCUAAGGUUGGUGUGGAAUCUCCCGGCUCAACUGGGAGGGUGCGCCGAAAACUGGGGGGCUUCGGGUGCGGGAUGGGAGAGUGGAAUUCCUGGUGUAGCGGGGAAAUGCGUAGAUAUCAGGAGGAACACCUGCGGUGUAGACGGCUCUCUGGACCGUAACUGACGCUGAGACACGAAAGCGUGGGUAGCAAACA
rnacentral:rRNA from 1 species